UACGGAGGGAGCUAGCGUUGUUCGGAAUUACUGGGCGUAAAGCGCGCGUAGGCGGCUUUGUAAGUUAGAGGUGAAAGCCCGGAGCUCAACUCCGGAACUGCCUUUAAAACUGCAUCGCUUGAAUCCAGGAGAGGUGAGUGGAAUUCCGAGUGUAGAGGUGAAAUUCGUAGAUAUUCGGAAGAACACCAGUGGCGAAGGCGGCUCACUGGACUGGUAUUGACGCUGAGGUGGCGAAAAGCGUGGGGGAGCAACAGG
rnacentral:rRNA from 1 species